CGGAGAUUUGAAAAGCUUGCUUUUCAAAUCUUAGCGGCGGACGGGUGAGUAACACGUGGGCAACCUGCCCUUGAGACGGGGAUAACUCCGGGAAACCGGAGCUAAUACCGGAUAACACAUAUCUUCGCAUGAGGAUAUGUUAGAAGGUGGCUUUUAGCUACCACUCAAGGAUGGGCCCGCGGCGCAUUAGCUAGUUGGUGAGGUAACGGCUCACCAAGGCGACGAUGCGUAGCCGACCUGAGAGGGUGAUCGGCCACACUGGGACUGAGACACGGCCCAGACUCCUACGGGAGGCAGCAGUAGGGAAUCUUCCGCAAUGGACGAAAGUCUGACGGAGCAACGCCGCGUGAGUGAUGAAGGUUUUCGGAUCGUAAAGCUCUGUUGUUAGGGAAGAACAAGUACCUGUUAAAUAAGCAGGUACCUUGACGGUACCUAACCAGAAAGCCACGGCUAACUACGUGCCAGCAGCCGCGGUAAUACGUAGGUGGCAAGCGUUGUCCGGAAUUAUUGGGCGUAAAGCGCGCGCAGGCGGUUCCUUAAGUCUGAUGUGAAAGCCCACGGCUCAACCGUGGAGGGUCAUUGGAAACUGGGGAACUUGAGUGCAGAAGAGGAGAGCGGAAUUCCACGUGUAGCGGUGAAAUGCGUAGAGAUGUGGAGGAACACCAGUGGCGAAGGCGGCUCUCUGGUCUGUAACUGACGCUGAGGCGCGAAAGCGUGGGGAGCGAACAGGAUUAGAUACCCUGGUAGUCCACGCCGUAAACGAU
rnacentral:rRNA from 1 species